AUCCUGGCUCAGAUUGAACGCUGGCGGCAGGCCUAACACAUGCAAGUCGAGCGGUAGCACAGAAGAGCUUGCUCUUUGGGUGACGAGCGGCGGACGGGUGAGUAAUGUCUGGGAAACUGCCUGAUGGAGGGGGAUAACUACUGGAAACGGUAGCUAAUACCGCAUAACCUCGCAAGAGCAAAGAGGGGGACCUUCGGGCCUCUCGCCAUCAGAUGUGCCCAGAUGGGAUUAGCUAGUAGGUGAGGUAAUGGCUCACCUAGGCGACGAUCCCUAGCUGGUCUGAGAGGAUGACCAGCCACACUGGAACUGAGACACGGUCCAGACUCCUACGGGAGGCAGCAGUGGGGAAUAUUGCACAAUGGGCGCAAGCCUGAUGCAGCCAUGCCGCGUGUGUGAAGAAGGCCUUCGGGUUGUAAAGCACUUUCAGCGAGGAGGAAGGCGGUAAGGUUAAUAACCUUAUCGAUUGACGUUACUCGCAGAAGAAGCACCGGCUAACUCCGUGCCAGCAGCCGAGGUAAUACGGAGGGUGCAAGCGUUAAUCGGAAUGACUGGGCGUAAAGCGCACGCAGGCGGUCUGUUAAGUUGGAUGUGAAAUCCCCGGGCUUAACCUGGGAACUGCAUUCAAAACUGACAGGCUAGAGUCUUGUAGAGGGGGGUAGAAUUCCAGGUGUAGCGGUGAAAUGCGUAGAGAUCUGGAGGAAUACCGGUGGCGAAGGCGGCCCCCUGGACAAAGACUGACGCUCAGGUGCGAAAGCGUGGGGAGCAAACAGGAUUAGAUACCCUGGUAGUCCACGCUGUAAACGAUGUCGAUUUGGAGGUUGUGCCCUUGAGGCGUGGCUUCCGGAGCUAACGCGUUAAAUCGACCGCCUGGGGAGUACGGCCGCAAGGUUAAAACUCAAAUGAAUUGACGGGGGCCCGCACAAGCGGUGGAGCAUGUGGUUUAAUUCGAUGCAACGCGAAGAACCUUACCUACUCUUGACAUCCAGAGAACUUUCCAGAGAUGGAUUGGUGCCUUCGGGAACUCUGAGACAGGUGCUGCAUGGCUGUCGUCAGCUCGUGUUGUGAAAUGUUGGGUUAAGUCCCGCAACGAGCGCAACCCUUAUCCUUUGUUGCCAGCGAUUCGGUCGGGAACUCAAAGGAGACUGCCGGUGAUAAACCGGAGGAAGGUGGGGAUGACGUCAAGUCAUCAUGGCCCUUACGAGUAGGGCUACACACGUGCUACAAUGGCGUAUACAAAGAGAAGCGACCUCGCGAGAGCAAGCGGACCUCAUAAAGUACGUCGUAGUCCGGAUUGGAGUCUGCAACUCGACUCCAUGAAGUCGGAAUCGCUAGUAAUCGUAGAUCAGAAUGCUACGGUGAAUACGUUCCCGGGCCUUGUACACACCGCCCGUCACACCAUGGGAGUGGGUUGCAAAAGAAGUAGGUAGCUUAACCUUCGGGAGGGCGCUUACCACUUUGUGAUUCAUGACUGGGGUGAAGUCGUAACAAGGUAACCGUAGGGGAACCUGCGGUUGGAUCACCUCCUUUCUGAAUCA
rnacentral:rRNA from 1 species